GUCGAGAAUAGUCUACAAUGGUCGAAAGACUGAUAGUGCGACGCCGCGUGAACGAAGAAGCCCUUCGGGGUGUAAAGUUCUUUUAUAUGUGAGCAAUGCCUUUUAUGUGAAUAGCAUGAGAGGAGCGAUAUUAGCAUAUGAAUAAGCAACGGCUAACUCCGUGCCAGCAGCCGCGGUAACACGGGGGUUGCAAGCGUUGUCCGGAAUUACUAGGCGUAAAGGGCAGGUAGGCGGAUAGAUAAGUUUUUUGUCAAAGGCGACGGCUCACCCGUCGUAUGGCAGGAGAUACUGUUUAUCUGGAAUGCGGUUGGGGAAGACAGAAUUCCUGGUGUAGCGGUGGAAUGCGCAGAGAUCAGGAGGAAUACCGAAGGCGAAGGCAGUCUUCUAAGCCGUUAUUGACGCUAAACUGCGAAGGUGUGGGUAUCAAACAGGAUUAGAUACCCGAGUAGUCC
rnacentral:rRNA from 1 species